rnacentral:rRNA from 1 species
AUGCACGACUUCCUCGAGAGCGACCUCCCCGGCGACGACCGGUUGAGGGUCUGGGGCCGGCGGGGCGCCGGCAAGACGUCGCUCCUCACGCCGCUCCGGCAGCCCAGCCUGUACCACGCCCUCUUCGACUGCGUGCUCUAUUUGGAGGUGGGUAGCAGGUGGUCGGUGACGGACGUGCAGCUCGGCAUCUGCUGCACCCGCCUGGGCUGCAGCUACGGCGUGAUGUUGUCGGCGGACGACCGGAGCCGGGCCUGCCUCAUCCGCGCGGAACUCUCGCGCAAAAGCUUCCUGCUGCUGAUCGAUGGGCCGCUGGAGGCGCCCGUCGACCUGGUGGCGGUCGGCCUGUCGACGCCGCUCGGGAAGGGCGGCCGGCGCCAGAAGGUCGUCGUGUCCACUAGGAGCCCGGACGUGUGUGCGCCGCGGACAACGUCGUCGAGAUCGGGCGCCUGGGGGAAGACGACGCGUGGGGCCUCUUCAGAGACAACGUUGGAGAUAAAAUCAUCACGCGUGGGGCCUAUUCAAGGGAUAGAGCUCGAACGGACGUGA